AUGAGUCAAAUCCCUGGAGAAGAGGUAGCCUAUUUCAAUUCAGAUACAACAUGCAAGGCAAUGUCUACGGUGGAAGAUGAAGAUAUGUUGUACCCAACUGAGUUUCUGAAUAGUCUUACAUUUUCUGAAAUACCAGACCAUGAACUGAGGCUGAAAGUAGGAUUACCAAUAAUGCUUAUGAGGAACAUCAAUCAAAGUGCAGGACUUUGCAAUGGGACAAGACUAACAAUAACACAGCUAGGAAAGCGUUUCAUUGAAGGCCAGGUCAUAAUAGGUCCUAACGUUGGUGACAAAGUUUACAUCCCACAAAUUAUCAUGUCACCAAGUGAUUCAAAAUGGCCUUUCAUUCUGAAAAGGAGACAAUACCCAAUAUCAGUGUGCUUUGCUAUGACUAUAAACAAAAGCCAGGGGCAAUCUCUCAAAAAAGUUGGACUCUACUUAAAAAGGCAAGUGUUCACACAUGGACAACUCUAUGUUGCAAUGUCAAGGGUGACCAGCAGAAAUGGAUUGAAGAUACUCAUCUCAGAUGAAGAGCGUCCAUCCGACAAGGUUGCAAAAAACAUUGUUUACAAGGAUAUAUUAUAG
rnacentral:rRNA from 1 species